CCUCCUUGGGUCAUAACGGCGUAGACUGGUCUACUUCUCUCCCGAUGUCACGUUAAGUAGGCUAGCUAGGCUAGCCGUGAUGUAUCGUGCUCUGCAGUCAAGGUUGCCAGGUGCCUCUUUCAUUCUCCUGUCAUUGAGUUAAAAUGUGUGUGCAACAGGGGAAGUUUUAUUAACAUUAACGUAAGCAAACGAUGGUUAUUGUCAGCAUCCUUCCCGCCGAGUUACUGUCAAUGAUGAAUUUUGGUUGCACGAAACUUUUAUUAUCCAAGAUAUCAGCGACUCCAGGAUGCAGCCCCCAAUCAUUCUACAUUUUGGAAAUCAGAAAUCAAUACCAAAAAUGGACUUUCAUGGUCAUCUUUAACUAAAUUGGAAUCGCUAGAAGAAAAUCAAGAGUCUUGGGGCCCACCUACGUCUGCUGAUGUGUUCAACAAGGAGAACAAUCUACAGAACAUCUCCUCUGGGACAGGUACAGUUGAAUUGGUUGAAGAGUCUAUUUGAUUGCUAAUUAUGUUGAUUUAAUUAAGGUGGAGGGGAAAACCGUGAGAUCAGCACGGAUCUCCUUGCCUUUGAUGUGGACUGAGCUUGCCUCAGGGGAGGGGCCUCCUUUGCUCUGUGUGCGUGUGUGUGUGUGUGUGUGUGUGUGUGUGUGUGUGCGUGUGUGUGUGUGUGUGUGUGUGUGUGUGUGUGUGUGUGUGUGUGUGUGUGUCUGCUUCUGUGUUCUGUAGGACCACAUAUACACCAGCACACUAACUCUUGUUGCAGCCCUGGACAGCCUGUACACACACACACACACACACACAGGCAGACAUGUGGCCAUUCUUGCCCCUGGCUGCACUGGAGGGGAUGGGCCACAAUCGAAUCUUGAGCCGCUAUUGGCUGACAGCCGACCAGCAGCACAGGGGAUUGGUCAGUUCCUCCUGCCGAGCCUCUCUUUGGGAUAUUGACUGAAUCUCACGUGUUACAUGCAGACAAGAAGAAUCACAAUGGACCUAUGGACCAGAUGGGUGCCUGCCAUGUUUUUUUUUCUCAGAGCUUCUGUACGUGUACAUUUACAUGGAGUAUUUAUUUGAAAGGACAAACAAAUGGAAAAUCUUCCAUUUCUUACUGUAAUUGUGUUUGCAUGCUGUAAAAAAUCUAAUGUACAGGUAUUGUAUUUUUGUACAAAAUAAAUGUCAUUACUGAUAAA